UACGUAGGCAGCGAGCGUUGUUCGGAAUUACUGGGCGUAAAGAGUGUGUAGGCGGUGCUCUAAGUUCGGUGUGAAAUCUCCUGGCUCAACUGGGGAGGGUGCGCCCGGGAAACUGGAGUGCUUGAGCGUGGGAGAGGAAAGCGGAAUUCCUGGUGUAGCGGUGAAAUGCGUAGAUAUCAGGAGGAACACCUGUGGUGUAGACGGCUUUCUGGACCAUAGCUGACGCUGAGACACGAAAGCGUGGGUAGCAAACAGG
rnacentral:rRNA from 1 species